CAAACAUACUCACUACACACACCUGGGAGACACUAUUUCUUAUAAAUGAACAGAGCUUCCCUCCCUUUUGACUGCACUCAUGGACACAAUUGUCUUUUAGAAUAUGUUUCACUUCUUUUCCUUCUAUAGGCCUUUUUUAAAAUUACCUUUAUGAUUUUUUUCUCUUUCCUGUUACUUUUGGACCAUUUCAUUUUAUUUUGUUCCACCUUUUUUUUCCUGGCCUUUCAAACUCGUAUAAAAUGUUCGAAGUUCUUUUUACUCUCCUCUCAAAUAGAAAAUUGCUCUCUGUCUAUAUGACUUUCCUUCGCACCUAAGCUUGAUUUUUCGCCCUUCGGGCAGAAAGAUUUAACGGGUGCAAAACAAGACAACUGUCUACUUUGUCUGCCUGUCUGUCAGAACUGGAGGAUAGAGAGUUCAACUCAAACGGUUAAUCUUCGGCGGCCAUAUUACUCCAACAACUGUGACUUGUGCAAGGAAGACUUGUCAUUCCAACAAUGUUUUUAAAUUUUUGAAGUAUGGGAUCUUGUGUUAUAUAUGGAUGUACGAAGAGAACGUUUAAAAGACUCCUGGGAUUACGUUUUACGCAAAUUGCUAGAACUGUCUCGUGCGGCCGGUUUAAAAAGCUGUGAAACGCUGGAGAGAAACAUCCCAGUUCAGUUGUUUACUCAGUUGUUGUUUACUUAGCUGCUGUAAUUUUGAGAUCGGAUUAGCUUUCUCUGCGCGUUCGAUUGGAUACUGUUUAACGUUUUAGUACUUUAAAGUAUAACUACUGUGUGUUGCAUGAAAUUUAGUGUUUUAUGAACAGUUACGAAUAUCUUUGAGGAAAAACCUAACAUUUUGUUACAUUUCUUGGGAUAAAAAUAAAUUUUAUUGGACUUUACAUUCAAUCUAUUACGAACUCGUACGCACGUAACAGCAUCUUUGUUCGUUAAUAUACUCUAGGAUUUAUGUAAUUUGGAUACUUUAAGUAAUUUGUUUUAUAAUAUCCAUGAAAUGUGGGAAAUAAAUUGUUACCAGUAUUAUGCAUUGUAAAAGUGUUAAAUAAAAAAAUGCUUCUCUUUA